AUUGAACGCUGGCGGCAGGCCUAACACAUGCAAGUCGAGCGAGCGGCGGACGGGUGAGUCAUCUCUGGGAGCCUGCCUGAUGGCGGUGGCUAACUCCUGGAAACGGUAGCUAAUACCGCCUACCAUCCGAUUUGCCCAGAUGGGAGUAGCUAGUAGGGGGGGUAACGGCUCACCUAGGCGACGAUCCCUAGCUGGUCUGAGAGGAUGACCAGCGACACUGGAACUGAGAGACGGGCAAGACUCCUACGGGAGGCAGCAGUGGGGAAUAUGGCACAAUGGGCGAAAGCCUGAUGCAGCCAUGCCGCGUGUGUGAAGAAGGCCUUCGGGGUGUAAAGCACUUUCAGCGGGGAGGCGUUACCCGCAGAAGAAGCACCGGCUAACUCCGUGCCAGCAGCCGCGGUAAUAC
rnacentral:rRNA from 1 species